ACUGUUAGCCGAGUGAGACUAAGCUAUGCAAGUUGAAUGAGAUACCAAAAAUUCUCAUAGCGAACUGCUCAGUAACACGUGAUCAACUUACCCUAAGGUGGGGAAUAACCUCGGGAAACUGAGUCUAAUACCCCGUAAUUGAAGAUGCCUGGAAUGGUUUUUCAAUAAAAGAUAUAUUUAAAUGGAAAUAUUUUCGCCAUAGGAUAGGAUUGCGCCCGAGUAGGCAGUUGGUGAGAUAAUGGCUCACCAAACCUAUAAUCGGUAGGGGCCGUGAGAGCGGGAGCCCCGAGAUCGGCACUGAGACAAGUGCCAACGUCUUACGAGAUGCAGCAAGCGCGAAAACUACACAAUGCACGAAAGUGUGAUGCGGUUACUCGGCGUGUCAUCGUGGUAUGACUGUAGCAAGUGGGUAAGAUCCCUUGCGCAGAAAGGAGAGGGCAAGGCUGGUGCCAGCCGCCGCGGUAAAACCAGCUCUUCGAAUGGUCGGGAUGUUUAUUGGGCUUAAAGCGUCCGUAGCCUGUUUAGUAAGUUUUUGGUGAAAUAUGAUAGCUUAACUGUCAAUAAGCUAAAAAUACUGCUUCACUAGGGGGCGGGAAAGGUCUGAGGUACUACUAGGGUAGCGGUGAAAUGCGGUAAUCCUUGUGGGACCACCAGUUGCGAAGGCGUCAGACUGGAACGC
rnacentral:rRNA from 1 species